rnacentral:rRNA from 1 species
UACGGAGGGUGCGAGCGUUGUCCGGAAUCACUGGGCGUAAAGGGCGCGUAGGCGGCUUGAUAAGUAGGGGGUGAAAUCCUGCGGCUUAACCGCAGGGCUGCCUUCUAAACUGUCAGGCUCGAGCACAGUAGAGGCAGGUGGAAUUCCCGGUGUAGCGGUGGAAUGCGUAGAUAUCGGGAGGAACACCAGUGGCGAAGGCGACUACCUGGCCUGUUCUUGACGCUGAGGCGCGAAAGCUAGGGGAGCAAACAGG